rnacentral:rRNA from 1 species
UGCGGCGGAUUAGCUAGUUGGUGGGGUAACGGCCUACCAAGGCGAUGAUCCGUAGGGGGCGUGAGAGCGUGGCCCCCCACACUGGCACUGAGACACGGGCCAGACUCCUACGGGAGGCAGCAGUGAGGAAUAUUGCACAAUGGGCGCAAGCCUGAUGCAGCAACGCCGCGUGAGGGACGAAGGCCUUCGGGUUGUAAACCUCUUUUCUGAGGGACGAGGAAGGACGGUACCUCAGGAAUAAGUCUCGGCUAACUACGUGCCAGCAGCCGCGGUAAAACGUAGGAGGCGAGCGUUAUCCGGAUUUACUGGGCGUAAAGCGCGCGCAGGUGGCUUCGUGAGUCGGACAUGAAAGCUCCUGGCUUAACUGGGAGAGGCUGUUCGAUACUGCGGGGCUUGAGGUUGGGAGAGGGACGCGGAAUUCCCGGUGUAGUGGUGGAAUGCGUAGAUAUCGGGAGGAACACCAGUGGCGCAAGCGGCGUCCUGGCCCACACCUGACGCUGAGGUGCGAAAGCGUGGGUAGCAAACAGGAUUAGAUACCCUGGUAGUCCACGCUGUAAACGAUGUCAACUGGGUGUCGGUAGUUUUACACUAUCGGUGCCGAAGCUAACGCG